rnacentral:lncRNA from 1 species
UUUAUUUUUUCGUACCCAAGCAAUCCUUUUGUUUAACCUUAAUUCGAAAUGUUACAGAAUUAGCGUUAUUUUAUUACACAUAUAACACACAUAACACACAUAAAUUUGAUCGUUAUGGAAGAAAAUGAAGAGACCGAAGGACAGGCCGUGAGAGGAAGCUCAAAACGGUCCACACUGUCCACACGCUCAACACGCUACUCACGAAAUACAAAAGCUAUCUCAAAAUUCGAAAUUCCCACCAUAGAUACACAGUCAGAAUUGCAACUACUAAGGCUAUGUAGGCGCCACAAGCUUGACGAAAUUUUUAUUGGUGACUUUAACGACGAUGAAUUUGAUAAUAAAAACGUGUAUAAACGCAAGCAUGCAGAUCCGGAUGCACGUGAUAUCGCUCAUGAGAGUCCCAGCUACAGUAAAUUUAAACAACCCCUGUACGAUUGCUCGACUUAUCGUAUAUUAUAUAUUUUCUAAUUACACAUAAUUCUGACACACAGGCAAGCGGAAUGUCUCGCACGUUACAUGGCAACUGCACGGAAAUACAAUCGUCAAUUUAAAAACGAGAUCUCCAAACUCGUUGACUACCAGUGUUCGGCACUCGAGGCAGCCUAUCUAGUGCGGUAAGGCAUGCUGUUUCAAUCUAAUUCAAGUAUUCCUAAUAUCCAUUCUGUUUGUUAUUUAUAGAGUAACGGCGUAUACUACUCUUUGGCCACCGUAUCACAGUAAGACGGAAAUAUCCAAUACAUCUCGCAAAUUCUAUCGUUUGACAACAAAAGAACAAAGGAGGCUCGAAAAAGUUACUGGCAUGCCGUAUUCGAAACACUUUUAGGUUCAAUCCAAUUUGAUUGUAAUUCUCUAAAUCUAAAAGUAAAUUACUUCACUGAUUACUUAGCAUUA